UACAGAGGGGGCUAGCGUUGUUCGGAAUUACUGGGCGUAAAGGGCGCGUAGGUGGCCUGCUAAGUCGAACGUGAAAUCCCCGGGCUCAACCCGGGAACUGCGUCCGAGACUGGCAGGCUUGAAUCCGGGAGAGGGAUGUGGAAUUCCAGGUGUAGCGGUGAAAUGCGUAGAUAUCUGGAGGAACACCGGUGGCGAAGGCGGCAUCCUGGACCGGUAUUGACGCUGAGGCGCGAAAGCCAGGGGAGCAAAGCAGG
rnacentral:rRNA from 1 species